GAUGAACGCUGGCGGCGUGCCUAAUACAUGCAAGUCGAGCGAACAGACGAGGAGCUUGCUCCUCUGACGUUAGCGGCGGACGGGUGAGUAACACGUGGAUAACCUACCUAUAAGACUGGGAUAACUUCGGGAAACCGGAGCUAAUACCGGAUAAUAUAUUGAACCGCAUGGUUCAAUAGUGAAAGACGGUUUUGCUGUCACUUAUAGAUGGAUCCGCGCCGCAUUAGCUAGUUGGUAAGGUAACGGCUUACCAAGGCAACGAUGCGUAGCCGACCUGAGAGGGUGAUCGGCCACACUGGAACUGAGACACGGUCCAGACUCCUACGGGAGGCAGCAGUAGGGACUCUUCCGCAAUGGGCGAAAGCCUGACGGAGCAACGCCGCGUGAGUGAUGAAGGUCUUCGGAUCGUAAAACUCUGUUAUUAGGGAAGAACAAAUGUGUAAGUAACUAUGCACGUCUUGACGGUACCUAAUCAGAAAGCCCCGGCUAACUACGUG
rnacentral:rRNA from 1 species